rnacentral:rRNA from 1 species
UACGUAGGGCGCGAGCGUUGUCCGGAAUUAUUGGGCGUAAAGAGCUCGUAGGCGGUUUGUCGCGUCGGUUGUGAAAACCCAAGGCUCAACCUUGGGCCUGCAAUCGAUACGGGCAGACUAGAGUACUGCAGGGGAGACUGGAAUUCCUGGUGUAGCGGUGAAAUGCGCAGAUAUCAGGAGGAACACCGGUGGCGAAGGCGGGUCUCUGGGCCGAAACUGACGCUGAGGAGCGAAAGCGUGGGGAGCAAACAGG